AAUGAAAACAGUUCUAUAUAAGUCCCUUACCAAGGCACGCUGUCUGACUUCUGAGGCAGAAAUGAGGAUGUGGACAGUAUGGUGUAUGGUCUUGUACUUCUUUGGAGCAAGAGCUAAAAUAACCCAAAACCCAAGUCUGGUGCUGAAAGAAGAUGAGAAUGCUACUCUGACAUGCAGUCAAAAUGACAAUCACAAUAAUAUGUACUGGUAUCUGCAGCAGCCAGGGAAGGGGCUGCAACUGAUCUAUUAUUCAAUUGGUGCAAAUCAGGAAUAUGAGGGUGAUAUUCCCAACGGAUACAAGGCAAAGCGGUUAAGCCAAGAAGUCUUCCGUCUAGAUAUCGUACCUGUAAAGAAGAACCAUUCUGCUACCUAUUUCUGUGCCUCCAGUUUGGACACAACACUUCAAAGUCACUUGCUUUCUUUACAUAAACCCCUCUCCAGUACGUACCUCCCCUCAGAAGGGAGUAGCUGUGAGCACAGGACAAUGGUGUGCAGGCCAAUUGGCCAUUCAGAAGCCAUAGUUUGCUGAGGAGCUGGACCAAGAGAGGUCAAGCAGGUUCCAUAUAAUUGUUGAAUUCCUCUUUCCUGAUCAGCUGUUGUUCCUCUAUCAUGUCAUAACUAUCCUUCAAGUUUGUUAAUCAAAUCCAGACAUAAAAUGAAGGAAAUGGAAAUACUGUAGCAUGCACAUCAACAAAUCAGUGUUCCACAAACCAUUUUCUUCCCCAGUGCAGAACAGUUAAUGGAAAUAUCUGUGUGUCUAAGUCAGAACUACUUUGGACAGAGACUUGUAGGUACAUUCUCAUACCACUGUGAAUAUUAUCAAGCAGUCAAAGCCACAGUGGUACUCACUGUGGCUGGGAAGGUUGUUCUAAUAUCAAGAACUCCAAUAGAACAAGGACCACCAAAAGUAGUGAGAGGCCUGAACAAAAAAUGACGAAAAAAAGCUAAAUAGAACUGAUAUGCUACAGAUUGGCCGUUAC